rnacentral:rRNA from 1 species
UACGGAGGGGGCGAGUGUUGUUCGGAAUUACUGGGCGUAAAGGGCGCGCAGGCGGCUUGGCAAGUCGAGUGUGAAAUCCCUUGGCUUAACUGAGGAACGGCGCUCGAAACUACCUCGCUGGAGGGCGGGAGAGGGAAGUGGAACUCUCGGUGUAGGGGUGAAAUCUGUAGAUAUCGAGAGGAACACCGGUGGCGAAGGCGGCUUCCUGGCCCGUACCUGACGCUGAGGCGCGAAAGCGUGGGGAGCAAACAGG